CUCAUGUCAUUGUAUUUGCUUCCGC
rnacentral:piRNA from 1 species